CAGAAUAUUAGCCUUGUUUCACUGUCCUGGGCUUCAUCAGGAUUACGAUAUUGUAUUUAUCUGCAUUAUCUAGAGUUUGUACUACUGAUGAAGCCCAGGAUGGCGAAACAAGGCUAAUAUUCUG